rnacentral:rRNA from 1 species
AUGCGAUAAGUAAUGUGAAUUGCAGAAUUCAGUGAAUCAUCGAAUCUUUGAACGCAUCUUGCACUCCUUAGUAUUCUGAGGAGUAUGCCUGUUUGAGUAUCAUUAAAUUAUCAACUGCGUCAGCUUUUUUGGGUUGGCUGCAGAUUGGAUUAUGGGAGUUUUUGCAGGCUUUCAGAAAGUCAGCUCUCCUGAAAUGCAUUAGCCAGUGCCUUUUGUUGGUUACUUAGGUGGUGAUAACUUAUCUACACCUUUAUGUGUGCCUUCAUUUUUCUCAAAGGUAAUACUGCUUAUAGUCGUCUUGUUUUUUCAAGACAAUAAUGUCUAAUGACAAACUUCUUGAUCUCAAAUCAGGUAGGAGUACCCGCUGAACUUAA